GAUGAACGCUGGCGGCGUGCCUAAUACAUGCGAGUCGAGCGAACAGACGAGGAGCUUGCUCCUCUGAUGUUAGCGGCGGACGGGUGAGUAACACGUGGAUAACCUACCUAUAAGACUGGGAUAACUUCGGGAAACCGGAGCUAAUACCGGAUAACAUGUUGAACCGCAUGGUUCAACAGUGAAAGACGGUCUUGCUGUCACUUAUAGAUGGAUCCGCGCCGCAUUAGCUAGUUGGUAAGGUAACGGCUUACCAAGGCAACGAUGCGUAGCCGACCUGAGAGGGUGAUCGGCCACACUGGAACUGAGACACGGUCCAGACUCCUACGGGAGGCAGCAGUAGGGAAUCUUCCGCAAUGGGCGAAAGCCUGACGGAGCAACGCCGCGUGAGUGAAGAAGGUCUUCGGAUCGUAAAACUCUGUUAUUAGGGAAGAGCAAAUGUGUAAGUAACUAUGCACGUCUUGACGGUACCUAAUCAGAAAGCCACGGCUAACUACGUG
rnacentral:rRNA from 1 species